rnacentral:misc_RNA from 1 species
GAUGAAGAACGUAGCGAAAUGCGAUAAGUAAUGUGAAUUGCAGAAUUCAGUGAAUCAUCGAAUCUUUGAACGCACAUUGCGCCCGCCAGUAUUCUGGCGGGCAUGCCUGUCUGAGCGUCAUUUCAACCCUCACGCCCCUAGGGCGUGGUGUUGGGGAUCGGCCAAAGCCCGCGAGGGACGGCCGGCCCCUAAAUCUAGUGGCGGACCCGUUGUGGCCUCCUCUGCGAAGUAGUGAUAUUCCGCAUCGGAGAGCGAUGAGCCCCUGCCGUUAAACCCCCAACUUUCCAAGGUUGACCUCAGAUCAGGUAGGAAUACCCGCUGAACUUAAGCAUAUCAAUAAGCGGAGGA